rnacentral:rRNA from 1 species
UACGGAGGGGGCUAGCGUUGUUCGGAAAUACUGGGCGUAAAGCGCACGUAGGCGGCGUCGUAAGUCAGGGGUGAAAUCCCGGGGCUCAACCCCGGAACUGCCCUUGAAACUGCAAUGCUAGAAUCUUGGAGAGGCGAGUGGAAUUCCGAGUGUAGAGGUGAAAUUCGUAGAUAUUCGGAAGAACACCAGUGGCGAAGGCGACUCGCUGGACAAGUAUUGACGCUGAGGUGCGAAAGCGUGGGGAGCAAACAGG